AGAACCAAGGAUCUGAUCCAAAGUCUACUGAAGUCAAUGUGAGUCUUUCCACUGACUUCAAUGGAGUUUGGAUCAGGUCCUAGGUCU
rnacentral:pre_miRNA from 1 species